rnacentral:lncRNA from 1 species
CUCCGGCAGCAGCACGCGGGAGGCGGGGCCGGAGGCUCCUCCGCCCCUCAGCCCGCCCACCCGCGGUCCCGCAGCGGCGCGCGGCUGACGCUCCCUCAGCGAUCCGGCCCUCCGCGGCUCCUGCGCGACCCCACGCAAAAGCGCCCCGUGCGAAGAGCGCGGCCAGCCAGUCCGCAAAGGGCCUCGGGCAGUGCGGGCAGCACGAACGGCGCGAUCGGGGAGCAGGCGCGGCUACGCUCCGCCUCAGUGAUGUCGCCGGGAGGAUCUCCGCGCGGCUACCUCCUCUUCCGCCGCCUUCCUCCCACGCCUUCACCUCCCUCCCCCGCCGCGCUCUGCGGCGAAAAGGAGCGGGCUCCCAGGCCACCUCCCCUCUCUCCACCCAGGGGCCGCGCGUCAGUGGACCUGCAGCCCAGGCAACGGGGCUGCGGACGGCGCGCGUGCCCUGCCUCGCCUCACGCCGGUAGCUGAUGCUCCCGCGGCAGCUGCCACCCCAGCGCCCCAGCCACGGCUUCAGAGGCUCUCGCACGCUGGCUUUUUUUUUUUCCCCCCGCUUUGGUGAACUCGCAGUACUUGGGCUGAGCCCGAAAUCUCGCGAGAUGCUGCAGGCGUCAGUGCGGCUUCCCACUAGGCGCGUGGUACCCGAGGCCGGGCCGGAGCCGCAGGCCAGCCGCGAUUCCUUCGGGCGAUGCUGGGGGCUUUCCGGUCGGGGCCGCAGCCGCUUCCGGAGCCGCGGGCGAGGUGCGUUCCCCAGCCUGGUUUGCUCUGGGCUCUGACCCGCCGCCGCGAAUCUCCGCUCGUAACUCCGGGCCUGAACCUGGAGGAGGGAGGAUUUCCUCUGUGCAGCUUUCGAGCGGUAGACUCACCCUGCCAGGCAGACCUAGAUUGGCAUAACCAGAGAUCAGUUCCAGUUGUGAUGCAGUGGGUGUCUACACACUUCUGAUGACACCUUUAUUUUAAAAGCUGAUGUUCCAAGUAGAGUCGGGGUUUCACCGUGUUAGCCAGGAUGGUCUCGAUCUCCUGACCUCGUGAUCCGCCCACCUCCGCCUCUCCAAGUGCUGGGAUUACAGGCAUGAGCCACCGCGCCCGGCCCUUGUAUUUUUAAACUUUGACUUUAUGGAGACGAACACCAUCGUUUGCUGAACACUUGAAACAUGAUGAAAGAGCCACAGAGUUGGCAGAACUGUUUGAAAAUGCUGUGCAAGCGGUCUUCUCUGUCUUCUUUAUGGCCAGUAAAAUUCUCCAGAAGAGAUUUAUGGCAGCCUCACUCCCAGUAGUUUCUGCAUUUAGUGAGAUAAGGAAUGGAUUUUCUUCUGUGUAUUGCUGACACGAACAGGAGACGGAAAUACUGAGUAGAAGAGGGCGGUUCCCUGGCUAAGGCCCCACCCUCAAGCCUGGAUACCCGCGGCCCUAAAUGAGAAGAGGCGUUUCUGUUUGGGGCCCAAAAAGUUGCUUUUUGACCCACCACGCCCCCUAUCCUGCCCCCAUAUAAACCCCAAACCCCAACCUCCAGAGCAUACCAGCAGGUGAGGAGAUACGAGGCAAGCCGACUGACGGCAAAACGACGUAGCAGAGAAAGAGAGAAGAGGAGGGACGUCUGGACACCGAGAGAUGUUUGGCUCGGGGCAGUCAGAGCGGAGUCCAGCCCCUGGGCGGCCCAACUCCAGGGGAAGAUCACCUUCCCACUUCAUCCAUCCCCACCCUUCCAGCUCCCCAUCCAUCCUGCUGAAAGCCAUUUCCACCACUCAAUAAAACCUCGCAUUCAUCCUUCAAGUCCGUGUGUGACCCGAUUUUUCCUGGAUUCUGGAAAAGAGCUCGGAAUACAGAAAGCUGUCCCCUGGUCCUUUGCCCUUGUGAAAAAGCAGAAGGUCCAUUGAGCUGGUUAACACUCCAGCUGUCUGUGGUGGCCAAGCUGAAAGAGCUUUGUAACACUGGGGUUGCAGGCACCCACCUCUAGACGCUACCGCAGAGCCAGAGCCCAAAGCCCUCACCCCGGCCUCUGCACUUGCCCAUCUGCGUGCUCCCCCUCUCGCAAGGGGUUUCUGCAGAGGGGGCUACUGAACAGAUGGAAUCUUGCUCUCUUGCUCAGACUGGAGUGCAGUGGCAUGACCUUGGCUCACUGCAACCUCACCUCUCGGGUUCAAGCGAUUCUGCCUCAGCCUCUCGAGUAGCUGGGACUACAGGUGGGAGACCUCCACAGAACCCUUCCAGCAAGCUGUCUUCUAAAGCAAACAAGAAAAGGAAAGUCUGAGCAGUUUUGAUUAGAUUUCCCAGAAGUCAAAGCAAGGAAAAAUGAAAAAGCUUCAUUUCUCACGUUCUUAAAAGAGAGCACAGAUGUUGCAUCAUCUGGUUAGAUACCCUGAGAAUAAAAUCUGGAUCCAGUGAGAGGAAAGAUUCUGGGUGCUCAUGAAAAAAGAAACAAAACAAAACUUGGGAGCCUCUUGAGAGUGUACAGCAUCAGCCCUUGCCAACUCUUGUUUAUAUGCAUUUAACUUUCAGUUAACCAUGGGAAUAAUUCAUGAAAAUCCAAUCUACAAACAAAGGCCAUCCUAACGUUCAUGUUAUUCUUUUCCCUAAGAAUCUUUCACAAGAGCUAUAAUCAAGUAGAAUUAUGCUUUGAUUUGAAUUCUAAUUCAAUUGAAAAUAAAAAAUGAGGGCCGGACGCGGUGGCUCAUGCCUGUAAUCCCAGCGCUUUGGGAGGCUGAGGUGGACGGAUCACGAGGUCAGGAGAUCGAGACCAUCCUGGCUAACACGGUGAAACCCGAUCCCUACUAAAAAUACAAAAAAUUAGCCGGGCGUGGUGGCAGGCGCCUGUAGUCCCAGCUACUCGGGAGGCUGAGGCAGGAGAAUGGCGUGAACCCAGGAGGCAGAGGUUGCAGUGAGCCGAGAUCAUGCUACUGCACUCCAGCCUGGGCGACAGAGCGAGACUCUGUGUAUAAAUAAAUAAAUAAAUAAAUAAAUAACGAAAAGGUUGCCAUUGCCCUUUCUGGGGAAAGUGAUAAUGAGGAAAGACUAGUUUCUUAACCCAAGUCAGCUUUAGAGUCGGCAAGGAUGCAAUUUGAGGUGAUCCAGGAAAACUCUAUUAGCAUGGUAUAAGCCUGGUUUUGCAGUAUAUACAGCAAGCCAUAGGAAGUUUCAUUGGAAGCGUUGUGGAACUCAUUGAGAGUUGAAUGGAAGAAAGAACCUAUAGCAGAAAUUUCCAG